rnacentral:rRNA from 1 species
GAUCCUGGCUCAGGAUGAACGCUAGCGACAGGCCUAACACAUGCAAGUCGAGGGGCAGCGGAGAGGUAGCAAUACCUUUGCCGGCGACCGGCGCACGGGUGAGUAACACGUAUGCAAUCCACCCGUAACAGGGGGAUAACCCGGAGAAAUCCGGACUAAUACCCCAUAAUAUGGGUUCUCCGCAUGGAGGGUCCAUUAAAGAGAGCAAUUUUGGUUACAGACGAGCAUGCGCUCCAUUAGCCAGUUGGG